AGAGCCACGCCUGUGCCCCUACCCCAAAGAGACCUCACCAUGAGCCCCUACCCCACAGAGACCUCACCAUGAAGAGGUGAAGGAGUAGGAUUUCCUUUGAAGGAUCUUGAAGUCCUUGACAGAUGAGAAGAAUAUUGAAGCUGCCUAAGAAGGUCACAGCUGGAAGGCCUGAGCUGCUUUGCUGAGGGGUAGUGGGCCCUGCUGAACAAGACGGCAGUUAACUAUGGCUAACUGAAAACAAGAAAAGUGAAACCACAGGGGGAUGACCACACCUGAGAGAAAACAGCUGGAUGAAUUCCAGUGGAAGCCGACUUGACCUUCAGCUACCAGCCAGUGACCCCCGCUCACAUUGUGUCCGGAAUUGGUAGGUUCUUGGUCUCGCUGACAUCUGGAAUGAAGCCACCAACCCUCACGGGGGACGCUGCUCUGCUGGACUCACUCCAUUCCCAGUGUCCUUUGCCUUGUUACCAAUGGGAGGAGAACUGGCUUUAGUGAAGGCUGGAACUCUCCAACUCACUCACUCAGCCAUCGUUCCUUAUCUGACACCCCAGAAGUCUGAUACCAGAAAUAUGAUUAACCUUCUGGAGAAAACCUGGAUUAACCCUUCUAUCUGCUUUCUUCCCAUCUACUCUUCACCUUCACCACCGCUGCAAGAACACUGCAAAGCACACAGUGGUGUCACUGCAGGCUGAGGACCACCAGCUGAACCUGGACUCACCACACUGCAUCUCUCCACCAAUUCCAAUGACCACUUCAGAAUGUUUCCACUUUCCUCCAACCUACAACUCAACCUAACAACUCUCUCACUAAGCGAACACUUAACCUUCUACUUAGAAAAAGCUGAAGCUAUCAUUUGAAACACUCUUCACCGUCCAAACCUGUCACCGAACCUGUGUCUAGAAACACCCACAUUCAACUAGGCAUGGUGGCUCAUGCCUAUAAUCCCAACACUUUGGGAGGCUGAGACGGGAGGAUCACUUGAGCCCCAGAGUUCGAGACCAGCCUGGGCAACAUGGCAAAACUCUGUCUCUACAAAAGAUACAAAAAUCAGCUGGGCAUGGUGGCAUGUGUCUGUAGUCCCAGGUACUCAGGAGUCUGAGGUGGGAGGAUCGCUUGAGCCCAGGAGGCAGAGGUUGCAGUGAGAGGAGAUUGUGCUGCUGCACUCCAGCCUGGGAGACACAGCAAGACUCUGUCUCAAAAUUGGAGGAAACACCCACUUUGUUCCUGCCGUGUUUCAGCAGACUCCCUCUGCUAUCCACGGGUAAUCCCUGCACCAGUGUUUUAAGCCUCAGAGACCUGAAGUCAUCAAUUAUUCUCUCUCUAGUAUAAUCCAUGUCUAUCAACCUUAUUAUUGCCAUCUUCAUUUAAACUCCCCCAACUAAAUUACAUAAAUGAUAACCAAAACCUUUCUUUUUCACACAUCACUAUCUAAACACUGUCCUUUUGCUUUGCUUGUGCUUUAUAGAGAGCUUCUGGUGGACAAGUUGUUCAUGAACUGUGCUGGUUCUUACAGCUCACAUUUAGACCCUCUGCUCUUCUCAGCUCCCCUUGACUCUUUGUACUAUCUUCCUAGACAAUCUCGUCUACCCUUAACUACCUCUUUAAGCCAAAUAUUGCUUAAAUAAGUAUAGCCCAGAUCCCACUCCUGAGCUCCAGUCAGCAUAUCCAGCCAAAAACUCUACUUGGAUGUCUCAGAGGCAUGUCAAACUCAACAUGACCAACACUCACCCCACAAUUUUAGCCUCUAAAUUCUGCUCUUCUCUGAAAAUUUCCUAUUUCAAUUUAACGAUACUUUCAUCUUUUCAGAUGUGCAAUUUCAAGUCUAGGGAUCAUGUCUGUGGCUUUUCUCUCUUUUACUGAUAAUCUCUAAUCCAUCACUGAUUCCUAUUGAUAUUCUCCCCUUAAUAAUUGUCAAAUCCUUCCUCGUCUCUCCACUUUGGUUGGUAGUUGUUCCUAAUUCUAACAUCCAUCAUCUCUUAAUUGGAUUAUCUUCUUGUACAGACUCUGGUCCACCUCCAGCUCAUUCUCCAUGCUGCAGGUAAAGUGACUUUUUUAUUUUUAUUUUUUCAAAACUCAAAUCUAAGCUUUAGCAGGCCUCUAAAUUCCUGCAUGGUCUGGCCUCUCUGCCUCUGCCACUGGCCUCACUGUUUGGGCUCACACCAUUCUCCUCUGCCCCUCUGCUCUUAGUCACAUUAGACUUCUUAGCUUCCCAUGUGAUCCAGGCACCUUCCCAUGCAGUGCCUUUCUCUGCCUGGGGGCUGUGCCUCUCCACCUGCCCCUCUCUCUACCUUUUAAUCCUGCUUGUCCACUGAUUAGUAUUUCAUGACUCCGUGCCAGAGGAGUCGCUUGUGCCCAGACGCCAUUGUUAAAUGUUCCCAAGUGCCAUGUUUCUUUUCUCAGAACACUAACCUCACUUUGUAAUCAUGCACUCAUUUGUAAAAUUGUUUAUGAAUACCUCCUAAGAACAUGGGCCAUAUUUGUUCUUCCCCCUCCAUAGUAUUUGGUACACAGUAAGCAUUUAAUAAACAUUUUCUGGAAAUGAUAGCACCAUCAU